GUGACAUGAAAGCUAAUGUCAAAAAUUUCAAUACAGUGCAGUGUUAUAAUUUAUCUAAAAACUAGAAAUUUUAAUAUAAACUGAUAUAUUAUUAUGACAUCAUCAAUUACUUAUUAAUCUCAAGAUGGCACUUUACACUAAGCAAGAUUUCUCCCCUCCAAUCCUGUCAAGGAGAUGGAUUGCUAUGAAGUUUAGGCCCAAUAUGCUAAUAAACAACCGUCAGCACAUCAUUUCAAUCCUCGAGAGCGGCCUGCUCUUCCGAGAGGACAGCGUAGAGGUGGAGCAGGAGACUCCCUGCCCUUCUGCGGUGUGGAGCGCCGCGGGGGGGCGACGAGGCGGCUGGCUCACGGGCGGGGAGGGGGCCGCGUCUGUGGCGGCCGUCGCUGUGUGC